ACUAACAGUAAAAGGGUAAUAUCUUAAGAGAAACCCAUACCCUUUGGCGGCCUUUAUCCCAAUCAGAGGAACUUGUUAAUUAAUCGAAAUUACCCGCCCAUUCUCUCUACCCUUCACAAGCCUUUAUACCGUCGUCUCAAGAGUCAACUUACAAAUUACUUCUCAAAUCCAGGACAACCACCCAAGUCAGAUCAAGGUGAAGCUCAUAGGAAAGCUUAAAUGAGUUAUACAUAAACAAUAUUUAAAGACCUUGUUACAAAAAACAAACCAAUUAAGAUUUGAAAGUACCUCAAGAUUAUAAAUCUUUUAGAAAAAAGUAAAUAAAGGUGU
rnacentral:rRNA from 1 species